AAAGGCGGGGCCCGCUGAAAGAAGGCGACCCGAGUUCUACUUCCUAGUAAGGGACGUCUCUGGAGAGAUCCUGAGGUUUUUGAGCCUCUUUUGCCUACACACCGGCAGUGUCCUUCCCGCACUCAGAGGGCCUCUCUGGAGCCAGUUCCAGGCCACCCAUGGGCCUUGGCCCCGCCCCCUACCCAUGGCUGGCAGAUUCGUGGCCCCACCCAUCUCGAAGCCCCUCGGCCCAGGAACCCAGGGGAAGCUGCUGCCCUAGCAAUCCUGACCCGGACGACAGAUAUUACAAUGGUGAGGAGUUCUCAUUCCCUCACCUGGCUUCAGCGCACUUCUCCCGACCUACUGGGGCAAACUGAAGGGCGCCCGGGAGCCCGGUCUCUCUGAGGUUGGUCAGUCCCUGGGGAGGAUGUGAGCUGGGGAAGCCUCUCUGACCUACCUCCACCCUGGUUUAGGAUGUAAGGCUUGUGUAGGGGAAGAAGUGGAUCCCGUGGGAUUUUCCUUUGUCUUCCAUUCUGUUGUCCUCUAUUUUUCUGUCUCUGCUCCCGGGCCUCCCUUUUUCUUCUCUGCAGAAGCAGGAAUCUCUCUGUAUCUGGCUCAGACGGCCCGGGGCACGGCCGCCCCUGGCGAGGGUCCUGUCUAUAGCACCAUUGACCCAGCGGCGGAGGAGCUGCAGACCUUCCAUGGAGGCUUCCCCCAACAUCCCUCAGGAGACCUGGGCCCCUGGAGCCAGUACGCUCCUCCAGAGUGGAGCCAGGCGGACAGUGGUAUGACUCCAACUCCUGAAACCCCGUUUAGCCCUGAUCAGGGUAUCCCCAAAGAGGAUGCUCCUCCCUGACCCUCUGGCACCUAGCCUGGCACUUCCUUCUGACCUGUCUCAUCUCUGGCUCUUUCCUGCCUGUUCUCCGGGUGUCCCCAUCCUAUUCUCCUCAGGAGCCAAGGGAGGCAAAGUGAAGCUUCUGGGGAAACCUGUGCAGAUGCCCUCUCUGAACUGGCCAGAAGCCCUGCCCCCACCUCCUCCUUCUUGUGAACUGAGCUGCCUAGAG
rnacentral:sRNA from 1 species